rnacentral:rRNA from 1 species
UCCAGACUCCUACGGGAGGCAGCAGUGGGGAAUAUUGCACAAUGGGGGAAACCCUGAUGCAGCAACGCCGCGUGAGUGAAGAAGGUUUUCGGAUUGUAAAGCUCUGUUAGCAGGGAAGAGGAAGGACGGUACCUGCAGAGGAAGCCCCGGCUAACUACGUGCCAGCAGCCGCGGUAAUACGUAGGGGGCAAGCGUUAUCCGGAUUUACUGGGUGUAAAGGGAGCGUAGACGGCAGCGCAAGUCUGAAGUGAAAUGCCGGGGCUUAACCCCGGAACUGCUUUGGAAACUGUGCAGCUAGAGUGCAGGAGAGGUAAGUGGAAUUCCUAGUGUAGCGGUGAAAUGCGUAGAUAUUAGGAGGAACACCAGUGGCGAAGGCGGCUUACUGGACUGUAACUGACGUUGAGGCUCGAAAGCGUGGGGAGCAAACAGGAUUAGAUACCCCGGUA